GCCUGGCUGGCUCAGUCAGUGGAGUGUGUGACUCUUGAUCAGGGUUGUGAGUUCAAGCCCCACGUUGGGUA
rnacentral:tRNA from 1 species